UUCUUCUCCCCCCUCGUCCGCUUUAUCCACUGGAUGGCCAAACCAUCCGUGAUGGGCUGCAGCUCUGCAGACAGCUUUGUCUGUGUUUGUGCAAGUCCAUGUGUGCGUGACUGGAGCGUUUGCACCGUACAAUAGAGCUAGACAGGGCUGAAGGCAGCUGAGGGGCUUCACCCGCCGAUGAAGACCAGAGAAUCCGGACUCCAAAGAACGGAGUAAAUUCAAGUCUCCAGAAACAGGAAUGAUCAUCAGGCUGGGACGACUGACACCAGGAUACUUCCGUCUCCUCCAGAGGCAGAUGUCCGGCGAGGUCAGGCUGCAGCCGCACGGCAGCCUCCUGGAGCCCAUCGCCAUGACGAUGGCGGCGGUGGGGACAGCGGUGUCUCUGUACAGCACCAGGCAGAUGGCGGCCAACUGCACAAAAGAGCACUGAGGACGUCCGAGCGUCUGUGUGGGUGCUGGUGUGUGACCCGGGAAUGUUGGCGAAGGUCAGAGGAGGUUUGUGACGCAGGAGGAUGAAGAGCGGGAAGCUGAAUGUUGCUCAGAGGCACCUGGAAGAUUUCUAACCCACGAUAUUAAGCAUGUUAAUGUUAAAGACUGUUUAUUUCAUCAGGGCUUUUAUUCUCAGGCAGUAAUCUUUAUGAAGCAGAUGUUUGCACAUCUGCAGCCAUUAUUUGUUGUUUAUAAAUAUCUAGAAUCGCUUCUUAGACUAAUUUAAUUUACUUUUUGUCAUGAAUAAAAAUUUGCCUCAGGGUUGUUCAUCCAGGCUUGCUGGUUCCAGUUUCCCAACUUAGAGAUUUAACUAAACUUCACACUCAAUUUGCUUAAUUCCUUUAUUUCAUGUUAAUUUUCACAAAUGUCUGCAGAUGUUUAGAUCUGAGGAGAAACAACAAUGAUUAAGAAAUAAAUGUGGU